rnacentral:snRNA from 1 species
AUCGCUUCUCGGCCUUUUGGCUAAGAUCAAGUGUAGUAUCUGUUCUUAUCAGUUUUAAAAAUGUUUUAUUUAUUUAUUUUUUAAUUUUUAAAAUUUAAUAAUUUUAUUAAUUAAUUUUAUUUAUUUGCUUUCUAGGGCCACACCUGCAGCAUAUGGAAGGCUAAGGGUAGAAUUGGAGCUACAGUUGCUGGGCUAUACCACAGCAAUGCGGGAUCCAAG